rnacentral:tRNA from 1 species
GUCAGGAUGGUUGAGUGGUCUAAGGCGCCAGAGUCAAGGACCUGUCUUCUCCUUAGUUGGGUGUUCUGGUCUCCAAAUGGAAGUGUGGGUUCAAAUCCCACUCCUGACA